UAAGGAAUAUUGGUCAAUGGACGCAAGUCUGAACCAGCCAUGCCGCGUGAAGGAUUAAGGUCCUCUGGAUUGUAAACUUCUUUUAUCUGGGACGAAACACUUCUUUUCUAAGAGGCCUGACGGUACCAGAUGAAUAAGCACCGGCUAACUCCGUGCCAGCAGCCGCGGUAAUACGGAGGGUGCAAGCGUUAUCCGGAUUCACUGGGUUUAAAGGGUGCGUAGGUGGGUAUGUAAGUCAGAGGUGAAAUCCCCGAGCUUAACUUGGGAACUGCCUUUGAUACUAUAUAUCUUGAAUGCCGUAGAGGUUAGCGGAAUAUGUCAUGUAGCGGUGAAAUGCUUAGAUAUGACAUGGAACACCAAUUGCGAAGGCAGCUUACUAUGCGGUUAUUGACACUGAGGCACGAAAGCGUGGGUAGCAAACA
rnacentral:rRNA from 1 species